UCAUGCCUCCCCUAUCUUCUCUUCUCGCCUCCUGAAAGCUCAGAGGGAAGGGACCUUCGGAUGUCUCCUUCAAUGUUUUUUUAAAAAGUAGAUGAGUAAUAGAGCUUGAGAUAUAUUCCUGUGUUAGUUGAACUGCUUUGUUUGUCUACAGAUGGCAAUCUAAUCCACAUCUGAGGAGUGUCACCACCGAUCUCUGCUCACCUCUGUGUCCACAACAUGCUAUACGCUUUACCGUUGUGGCUCAGCUCCGACACUCACUCCGUUCUGUAACGUUAUACAAUGACUGCUAAGGAAGUGUGAUCCUGCCUAUCAUUGGACAUAUUGCACAGCCAUCCGUCAUGGAGGAGAGGAGAGGAGGAGCGGACGGGCGGUUGGGCCUGACAGAUGGGCUUAGUGAGUGAAUCAUUGACAGGGUCCUGCUAACGGAUGCUGGGCCCAUCAAUAGCUCAAAGCCCCCGUGAUGAAUUACUGCAGACAAACAAUGCUGACCGAGCAAAUGUGCUUUUAACCAAGUCAGGCCAAAUAUUAGGCUACAGGCCUUUGGAAUUGGGCUGUGGGAGAAAGAGAGAAAUCUAAAGCCAACUUUGGUAUUGAUCAAGUGAUGUGCUUAGUUUCUAAAACUAUUACUAAAAACCUUCUGUUGGAGAAUGUGUC